rnacentral:rRNA from 1 species
GGUUCAGAACGAACGCUGGCGGCAUGCCUAACACAUGCAAGUCGAACGAGACCUUCGGGUCUAGUGGCGCACGGGUGCGUAACGCGUGGGAAUCUGCCCUUCGGUUGGGAAUAACACAGAGAAAUUUGUGCUAAUACCUUAUAAUGUCUUCGGACCAAAGAUUUAUCGCCGAGGGAUGAGCCCGCGUAGGAUUAGGUAGUUGGUGGGGUAAUGGCCUACCAAGCCGACGAUCCUUAGCUGGUCUGAGAGGAUGAUCAGCCACACUGGGACUGAGACACGGCCCAGACUCCUACGGGAGGCAGCAGUGGGGAAUAUUGGACAAUGGGCGAAAGCCUGAUCCAAGCAAUGCCGCGUGAGUGAUGAAGGCCUUAGGGUUGUAAAGCUCUUUUACCCGGGAUGAUAAUGACAGUACCGGGAGAAUAAGCUCCGGCUAACUCCGUGCCAGCCGCAGC